AGACGUUUGAUCCCUGGCUCAGGACGACGACUGCGGCGCGCCUAACACAUGCAAGUCGAACGGGACUAUACUGAAGAAGUUUUCGGAUGGAUUUCGGUAUAGUUUAGUGGCGGACGGGUGAGUAACACGUGAGCAACCUGCCUUCGAGAGGGGAAUAACGGCUGGAAACGGUCGCUAAUACCGCAUAACAUACUGGGAGGACAUCCUGCUGGUAUCAAAGAUUUUAUCGCUCGAAGAUGGGCUCGCGUCCGAUUAGGUAGUUGGUGAGGUAACGGCUCACCAAGCCGACGAUCGGUAGCCGGACUGAGAGGUUGAACGGCCACAUUGGGACUGAGACACGGCCCAGACUCCUACGGGAGGCAGCAGUCGGGAAUAUUGCGCAAUGGAGGAAACUCUGACGCAGUGACGCCGCGUAUAGGAAGAAGGUUUUCGGAUUGUAAACUAUUGUCGUUAGGGAAGAUAAAAGACAGUACCUAAGGAGGAAGCUCCGGCUAACUAUGUG
rnacentral:rRNA from 1 species